UCUACGGGCGGCAGCAGUGGGGAAUAUUGCGCAAUGGGGGAAACCCUGAUGCAGCGACGCCGCGUGUGGGAAGACGGUCUUCUGGAUUGUAAACCACUGUCCCCAGGGACGAAAAUGACGGUACCUGGGGAGGAAGCUCCGGCUAACUACGUGCCAGCAGCCGCGGUAAUACGUAGGGAGCAAGCGUUGUCCGGAAUUACUGGGUGUAAAGGGAGCGUAGGCGGGGAUGCAAGUUGGGUGUCAAAACUACCGGCUCAACCGAUAGUCGCACUCAAAACUGCAGCUCUUGAGUGAAGUAGAGGAAGGCGGAAGUCCUAGUGUAGCGGUGAAAUGCGUAGAUAUUAGGAGGAACACCAGUGGCGAAGGCGGCCUGCUGGGCUUUUACUGACGCUGAGGCUCGAAAGUGUGGGGAGCAAACAGGAUUAGAUACCCGUGUAGUC
rnacentral:rRNA from 1 species